rnacentral:rRNA from 1 species
AGCUCCACUAGCGUAUAUUAGCGUUGUUGCGGUUAAAAAGCUCGUAGUUGGAUUUCUGCUGAGGGGGACCGGUCCGCCCUCUGGGUGAGUAUCUGGUUCGGCCUGUGCAUCUUCUUGGAGAACGUAGCUGCACUUGACUGUGUGUUGCGGUAUCCAGGACUUUUACUUUGAGGAAAUUAGAGUGUUUCAUGCAGGCACACGCCUUGAAUACAUUAGCAUGGAAUAAUAAGAUAGGUCCUCAGUUCUAUUUUGUUGGUUUCUAGAGCUGAGGUAAUGAUUAGUAGGGAUUCGUUGUGGGCAUUCGUAUUUAACGGUCAGAGGUGAAAUUCUUGUACUUGUUAAACACGAACUACUGCGAAAGCAUUUGCCAAGGACGUUUUCA